rnacentral:misc_RNA from 1 species
UGCUAGGAAAUGAAGUGUCUGAUUUCAUUAGAUGAAGACAGUUACAUGAUUAGAUCAACUCAACUUGAGAUUGAUACCUAGGUACUGUAGUAUGACUGUUUACUUUCAGCCAUUGAGGUUCACUCAUGAUAACAGGCUGCCAAUCAUAUUUUAGACUUUGUUUUUAUACUCUGGUAGUUGUAUGGGACCUGUUUGAUAUGCUGGUGUAACACAUUGGUUGAUGGAUACUUGCUUCCAUGUGCCUACUGCUUUUAUGAGACUGGUGGAAAAGAUUGACGUAUAGCUUUUCAACCAUGGCAAAUUGGAGGGGAGAGAUUAUGGAAGUCAUUGGAA